CGGACCUCUGGAACGAAUUAAGUACGUAACCACUGUAAGUAGUAGGUAUCAUUGAUUUGUGUAGAUGUAAGGCAACACAGCUCCUGUCAACCUAGCAGUUUGAAAGCACCCCC